AGCCAAGAGAUAUGCAGGUUGUGCUUAGCAGCCGAUCAGUUUGAGACCUGCGAGGCCGCAUCCCCAGGGUUUUUCAUCUCUUCUGUUUCCAUUUGUGUGAGUACAGAAAAAAUAAUUCUAUCAAGGGGCAUCAUGGGAUGUGGGAAAUUAUAAGCACUAAAACACAGAACAACUUAGGGAGCUAUGCACCCAGGAGGAAUUCAUGACCACAUAGGGGGGAAAAAAUAAGAGUUUCUGGUGGGGAGUGGAGUAAUAGUUUUUUUUUUUUUCUUUUCUUUUCUUUUUGAGACAGAGUUUCACACUGUCGCCCGGGCUGGAGUGCAAUGGCACAAUCUCGGCUCACUGCAACCACCUGCCGGGUUCUCGCAAUUCUGCCUCAGUCUCCGGAGUAGCUGGAUUUUUUUUUUCCCUCACUCUAUAGGAAAUCCAUUUGCUGUAAUUUAUAUCCAUCAUUAAAUCUCACCAUAUCCAUUUGACUUAGGCCUUUUGGAGUUAGGCAGAAGGGCCCUUCUUCCUGUUUGGCUGACAGCUCCCAGGCAGCCUCAGUAAACUGAGAGAGAGAGCAGAGUGAUUCGUCAAGACUACCUUGUGACAGGGGCACACCACCACAACCCAGCUAAUUUUUUGUAUUUUUAAUAGAGACGGGGGUUUCACUGUGUUGGCCAGACUGGUCUUGAACUCCUGACCUCGUAAUCCACCUGCCUCGGCCUCCCAAAGUGUUGGAAUUACAGGUGUGAGCCACCGCGUUCGGCCGAGUAACACUUUAUACCCAUCCUUGAAAAAGAAAAAGGGCCUUUAUGAACACUGACACUUAAAAAAAAAAAAAAAAAAAAAAAAAAAAAAAAACAGUGUAACUUGGCCAGGGUCAAAUCUGUCACAUUGCUUUUUCUUACAUUUGAGGUUUUUUGGGGUGUUGUAUAUAGUAGGACUAUAGAAGGAGUAUCUUUAGUUGAAAACACAUGUUAUGCAAACAUGGAAAAAUUUGCUCAGCUACAUUGUAAUAGUCUACCCUUUCUGCCAGCCCUAAAUUGUAUAGAGGAAUUUAAGUAAAAUGUUUGCUUUUUUUUUUUUCCCUCACCCUAUAGGAAAUCCAUUUGCUGUAAUUUAUAUCCAUCAUUAAAUCUCACCAUAUCCAUUUGACUGAGGCCUUUUGGAGUAGGCAGAAGGGCCCUUCUUCCUGUUUGGCUGACAGCUCAAGUUCCCAGGCAGCCUCAGUAAACUGAGAGAUAGAGCAGAGUGAUUCGUCAAGACUACCUUGUGACUCAGUCAGAUCCCAAAAUAGAAAUGGGGAAACUCUGUUUCAAUCUUGCAGGCUGUAAUUUAAGGAGGAAAACAACUAAUUUUUUUUUGGGUGGGGGGGACAGAGUCUCUGUCUCCCAGGCUGGAGUGCAGUGGCACCAUCUCGGCUUACUGCAACCUCCACCUCCCAGGUUCAAGCAAUUCUCCUGCCUCAGCCUCCCAAGUAGCUGGGAUUAAAGGUGUGCGCCACCACGCCUGGCUAAAUUUUUUUUUGUAUUUUUUUAGUAGAGAUGGGGUUUCACCAUGUUGGCCAGGCUGGUCUCAAACUCCUGACCUCAGGUGAUCCACCCACCUUGGCCUCCCAAAGUUCUGGGAUUACAGGUGUGAGCCACCAUGCCUGGCCACUUUACUAAAUAAAUUUUAAAAGCUUUAUCAGGGAAGAAAACUAGUGUCAAUUCAACUAAUCUGAGGUGAAUCUGAAUUCACUACACUCAUAGAAAGGAUAGAGAGAUACAUUUAAUUCACUCUUUAAAAUAGUUUACUGAUAAUGUUUGAUCCCUUUCGUCCAUUUAAUAAGAUAGAUUGCUUUGUUUUUGCAAUCACUCUCCUAUCUCCCCACCCAAGCUUCUGAUCCUCUGACUCUUGACUUGGUCUACCCUGUGAAUUACACCCUAGAGUCUGUAAAUUUAUUCACACAUAUUCAUACACAGAUACGGUAGCAUUUUAAAAUUUGGCCAGGUAUAGUGGCUCACACUUGUAAAUCCCAGCACUUGGGAGGCCAAGGUGGGAGGAUGAGCCCAGGAGUUUGAGACCAGCCUGGGCAACAUAAUAAGACCCUCAUCUCUACAAAAAAAAAAAAAUAGGUAGGUGUGGUGGCACUCAUCUGUAGUCCCACCUACUGAGGUGGGAGGAUCAUUUGAGUUCAGGAGUUGGAGGCUGCAGUGACCUGUGAUCAUGCCACUGCACUCCAGCUUGGGCAACAAAGAGAGACCCUGUCUUAAAAAAAAAAUUUAUUUUUUUUGAGACAGAGUCUUGCUCUGUUGCCCAGGCUGGAAUGCAGUGGCGCCAUCUCGGCUCGCUGCAAGCUCCGCCUCCUGGGUUCACGCCAUUCUGCCUCAGCCUCCCGAGUAGCUGGGACUACAGGCGCCCGCCACCACGCCCGGCUAAUUUUUUGUAUUUUGUUUAGUAGAGACGGGGUUUCACUGUGUUAGCCAGGAUGGUCUCGAUCUCCUGACCUCGUAAUCCGCCUGUCUUGGCCUCCUAAGGUGCUGGGAUUAUAGGUGUGAGCCACUGCGCCUGGCCAAAAUUUUUUUUUAAUUUAACAAUUCCAAUAUAAUAGGGAUUUUUAAAUUUUAUUAAUUUUACAAAUAUUUUUGAGAAUCUGCUACAUGCUAAAUAUAGUUGUAGAUACUGGGAAUACAUCUGUGAACAAAAUAUUUGAAAUCUCUGCCCUCAUGAAGCUUAUAUUCUAAUUGGGAGAGACAUGAUAAACAUGUAAAAUAUUAGGUAAUCUUAAGCGUUAUGCGAAAAAAAGUGAAGCAGAGUAAGGGAGAGAGUAACAGGGUGAUAUUCCACUUGCCAAAGAAAGCAUAUACUAUUUUCAGGGAAGUAGUAGGAUAUUUCUAUAGCAAAAAGCUGAAGGGGAAGGGCUCUUUGCACAAUUUUUGGUGGGAGGGGUCCUAUGUUUACUCUUACAGUGCAGCAGGAGACAUAUGAUGUGCAUUUUGUUUCAUUACAUAAAAUACAGGCUUGAGGAAAUGAGAGUAGUUUUAAAUUUCAGAACAGCAGAAGGUUCUUUGAAGUUGGUCACUCAGCACGUAAUGUAUUGCCUUUGUAUGCAGCGAGGGUUCAUUUAUUGAUAUCUGAUGAAAUGCUCCUCCUUAGAUUUUGAAGGGCUACUUUUGCUGGAUUGUAAUACUUUUCCCUCUGAUUACGGUAGAGACAGGCUAUAACAGGCCAGCACUUGUACUAGUUUCAGAUUAUCUACCAUGCCUAUGUAGGGAUGCUAGUAUUUCUACCUCAGAAGCCCAAGGCUUCUUUACCUGUUGCUGUUGUCAUCUAAUUUUCCUAUUUAAAAAAUACUAUUUUCCCUAACUUACCUUGAUACUCAGCAAAACCAUAUUUUGUGUCAUGUGUCUUAUCAGGAACAGCACUGCCUAGAAAAGAUACAAAGCCAGAAGAUUUUUUUCAGCUUAGUCAUGUCUAUUUUUUCUCCCCUGUAACUAAGACAUUUAUCAGCAUGAUUGAUUGGAUUUUUUUAGGGGGCGAGGGAAUGAAGGACUUGAUUCUCAGUCCUUCAGAGAUGUACUCUAACAGGUUCAGUACCUUCCUUCCUCAAGGCAAUCAGAUUUGGUUUAGAAAUGUGCCUCUUGUCUUUUUCUGAUGAUCCAGAUUUGAACUUUGCUCCAUUUAUUGGGGCAAGAUGGCCAUAUUUUAUGGCCUGUAGUUAGCGCAGACUUCAGAUUUCUUCUGAAAAUAUCACGGCAAUAAUAAUGUGAUACAGUGCUACUCAAAUACUUAAAUUUUGAGUUGUUUAUAUCCUUGAAGACAACAUUGUGAAACAUAAUACUCAUAUCCUCAGUUUCGUAUUAGAUGAUUACUAAUCCAGAGACAAAGCUGUGCGAUGAAAUCAGGAAAUAUUCUCCAGAGUGUUUCCCAAGAAGGAUGGGCACUUCAUUUUGUUAACAGGAUAUGUUAGUGAGUGAACUCUAAUAAGGAAGUUAUAAAGCUGUUAAAAGGCUUAAGAAUCCUUUUUUGUCAGCAAAAGAGGGCCAAAGUGUUGGUAAAAAUCUUUGGAAUAAGACCUAAUGAGUUGGCUCCAGCAAUUCACUUUAUAUGAUGUGCUGUAGAAGUAGCUACUGAAAUUGUGCUCAAUAUUUUGGUGUAUAAUUACAAACUGAGCAGGAAUGGUUUUAUGCAGCUUGUUAGGGAAAUAAUAUUCUAGUCAAAAUAUGUAAACACCAAGGCUGUUUCUUUGAAGUGUAGCCUUCAAAGAGUUAGGUUAUAUCCAUUUUGUGUAUGCUUGGUACAUAGUUUAGUUUUAAUAAAUGCUUGAAAUAAAGGGGAAAAGCAGAGUACCAUGUAAGGAAAAGCAGUCUAAUGAGCCGACAGAGAGAACAGAUUUUUUUUAGGGUAAACUACAGAAUAGCCAAGAAGGCUUGUCAAUCACAGGUUGCUUUCAGAAAUAAGACAUUCCACACUGGAAACUAAGGAGCCACAAAGGCAGAGAACUUGGGAACAUGUCACUGGUGUUGAGAAAUAAAAGGAAGAAUAAAUUCUGAAUGAGAGUGGAUUUUGAUUUAGCUUAGAUAACAUGGUUUUCACAUUGAUGAAAACAGUCUUCAGUGUCACAGGAAGAAUGCAGAAACUACAAACUUAAUUGGUUCAUAAGGCUAGACUGUCAAUAUAAAAGGUGAAUUCACCCAGUAAGCUACAAUUAUGCCUCUCUUGGAAGGGGAUCUGAUAUUCUCCAAUUUCAGUAAACUGGAUUUGCAGUUUUAAAAUGUAUUAACACCCAGUAUGAGCUUAGUACUGACUUUUAAAGUAGGAGAAGCAGUAUACCAAAUAAUUUAUGAGCGUAGGCUUUGGGGUUUUUUUUUGUUUUUGUUUUUGUUUUUGAGACAGAGUCUCGCUCUGUCGCCCAGACUGGAGUGCAGUGGUGCGAUCUUGGCUCACUGCAACCUCCGCCUCCCAGGUUCAAGCGAGAUUCUCUUGCCUCAGCCUCCCGAAUAACUGGGAUUACAGGCACCCGCCACCACGCCCAGCUAUUUUUUGUAUUUUUAGUAGAGAUGGGGUUUCACCAUGUUGGCCAGGCUGAUCUCAAACUCCUGACCUCGUGAUCCACCCACCUCAGCCUCCCAAAGUGCUGGUAUUAUAGGCAUGAGCCACCACGCCCAGCCGAGCGUAGCCUUUGAAAAUACUUGGGUUCUAGUCUUAGCACUGCACUAUGAUCUUAGUUCCUUGCCUACUAACAAAGGAAAAAAAAAACUUUUUAAAUGUUUAAAAAGAUCUUAGGUAAGUUACUUAGCAUCUAUAAUUUUAAGCUUUCUUAGCCUGUUAUCAUAGUGGUUAAGAAUGCAGGCACCAACAUGAGGAUUCAAAUCCCAGCUCUGUUGCUUCCUAGCUAUGUCAUCUUAGGCAAGCUACUAAACUAUGGCUCAGUUUCCUCAUAUGGAGGGAGGCAGAGAGAGAGAGAAAAAUUACCAAAAUCAUUGGAUUGUUGACAUUCAUUGAUCCCUGAAUAAAUGUUAGCUGUUAUCAGGAAUUUUUGUGAGUACCUCCUAACUUGUAAGUACUAGGUAUAGGCCAGGCAUGGUGGGUUUUGCCUAUAAUUCCAACAUUUUGGGAGGCUGAGGCAGGAGUAUUGCUUGAGGUCAGAAGUUCAAGACCAGCCUGGGCAACAUAGUGAGACCCCCAUCUCUGCAAAUAAAAGAAUCAGCUGGGCAUGGCAGCACAGACCUGUAGUCCCCGCUACUUGGGAGGCUGAGGUGGGAGGAUCUCUUGAGCCCAAGAGUUCAAGGCUGCAGUGAGCUAUGAUCAUGACACUGCACUCCAUCCUGGGGGACAGAGUGAGACCCCAUCUCUAAAGAUAAUUUUUUUUUCUUUUAUGAGACAGGAUCUCGCUUUGUCACCGAGGCUGGAGUGGCAUGAUCAUGGCUUACUGUAGCCUCAGGCUCUGGAGCUCAAGCCGUCCCACCUCAGCUCUCCUGAAUAGCUGGGACCACAGGUGCAUGCCACCAUGCCCAGCUAAUCUUGCUUAUUUUUUAUAGAGAUGAGGUCUCACUAUACCCAGGCUGACCUCAAACUCCUCGACUCAAGUGAUCCUCCUGCCUCAGCCUCCCAAAAUUUGGCGAUUAUAGGCGUGAGCCACUGCACCCAGCCUAAGAGUAAAUAAAUUUAUAAAAGAAGUACUGGGU
rnacentral:lncRNA from 10 species